GCGAAGUGAAGCGGCAACAGCUCAAAUUUGAAAUCUGGCCCCCCUGGGGUCCGAGUUGUAAUUUGUAAAGAGUGCUUCGGGUGAGACCGCGGUCUAAGUCCAUUGGAACAUGGCGUCAUAGAGGGUGAGAAUCCCGUAUGCGAUCGUGGCUCGAGCCCGUGUGAAGCCUCUUCGACGAGUCGAGUUGUUUGGGAAUGCAGCUCAAAAUGGGUGGUAAAUUUCAUCUAAAGCUAAAUACUGGCUGGAGACCGAUAGCGCACAAGUAGAGUGAUCGAAAGAUGAAAAGCACUUUGGAAAGAGAGUCAAAAAGUACGUGAAAUUGUUGAAAGGGAAGCGCUUGCAACCAGACCUGCCCGUAGGCGAUCACCCGCUGUUCUCAGCGGUGCACUCGCUCUGCGAUCAGGCCAGCAUCGGUUUUGGCGGUUGGAUAAAGGCCUUGGGAAUGUAACUUCCCUUCGGAAGAGUUUUAUAGCCCUCGGUGCAAUGCGGACAGCCGAGAACGAGGACCGCGCUUCUGCUAGGAUGCUGGCGUAAUGGUUGUAAGCGACCCGUCUUGAAACACGGACCAAGGAGUCUAUUAU
rnacentral:rRNA from 1 species